GCCGGAGUGGUGAAACUGGUAGACACGCACGUUUCAGGGGCGUGUGGCCUUACGGCCAUGUGGGUUCGAGUCCCACCUCCGGCA
rnacentral:tRNA from 1 species